GAUGAACGCUGGCGGCGUGCCUAAUACAUGCAAGUCGAGCGAACGGACGAGGAGCUUGCUCCUUUGACGUUAGCGGCGGACGGGUGAGUAACACGUGGAUAACCUACCUAUAAGACUGGGAUAACUUCGGGAAACCGGAGCUAAUACCGGAUAAUAUAUUGAACCGCAUGGUUCAAUAGUGAAAGACGGUUUUGCUGUCACUUAUAGAUGGAUCCGCGCCGCAUUAGCUAGUUGGUAAGGUAACGGCUUACCAAGGCAACGAUGCGUAGCCGACCUGAGAGGGUGAUCGGCCACUCUGGAACUGAGACACGGUCCAGACUCCUACGGGAGGCAGCAGUAGGGAAUCUUCCGCAAUGGGCGAAAGCCUGACGGAGCAACGCCGCGUGAGUGAUGAAGGUCUUCGGAUCGUAAAACUCUGUUAUUAGGGAAGAACAAAUGUGUAAGUAACUAUGCACGUCUUGACGGUACCUAAUCAGAAAGCCACGGCUAACUACGUG
rnacentral:rRNA from 1 species